CCGUCCAAUCAGAUUUGCAAUGAAAAAAAACAGACACAACCACACGCACAAGCUCUCCUCCUCUUCCUCUCACCCACGAAGUCCUCGCCGCCGCCACCACCCACGCCGGCCGCUUCCGGCGAGCUCCGGCGCCGCGCAGCACGCCCCCAAGCUCACCAUGGUCCGCGCCUCCCUCCCCUCCGUCCAGAUUCUCCGCUCCCGGCCUCUACCAACCACUCGCAACCCCACCCCCGUGGCUAGGGUUUCUGGCAAGGGUUCGCCGGCGCGUCUCCGGCGGCCCUAGAUGUAGAUGUAGCACACCAUGGGAGUUUCCCAUCCACCACGGUGGCAGCUUCUUCAUGGGAGAUGUGAUGCAAAAGAAGCACAAUAGUUCAGUGAUGAUUAGCUUUGGUUUUUCCCGGUUGAGAAUUUGAGGUUGUGUGUGUACACUGUCAACAAUAUUUCCAGAAACAAAAUAAUCGUGUACAUCCUUGUUUGGGGAAAGGUGGGCUGUAUAAGCAUGGACAUUAAUCUUCACUUUUUGUGCUAUAUAAGCAUGGACGUUAGGUAGUCAAUUUAGCCACAUAUAGAAUUCGUUAGAGUAUUACAUUUAAAUGGCUGACACAAGGUUCAGUAGGAAUUUGUUACAGUAUUACAUUUAAAUGGCUGACACAAGGUUCAGCCAGAUAUAAAAGGUCACAUAUCAUUUUAGUUGUAAUUAUUCAAAUGGCUGACACAAGGUUCAGUAGGAAUAACAUUAUGGUGUUCCAAAUAUCCAGCGACAUGACUAAAGCUCAAAUUUCUAAAGUGUUUGUCGUGCUUGCCGUAACAGUGUAGAUCUUUUCACAUUUUCUGGAUUUAUUCGUGCCCGUGGAGUUUUUGUGCCCAUCAUAUGUAGAUCUUUUAUUGGUAAGUUUGGAUGUUGUAGACUGAUCCGCUUUGGUAAGUCAUAUUUGCCUGCAGGGUGAUGAUGUUUAUGCAUCUAGGGAACCAUGGAGAUUUUACCAUGUGAUAUUUCCUCAAGCAAACUAAGUUAUUUUGCAAUUUGCUGCUCAAGUUGUGGCUCUUCUGCAGGUAUGUCAUUGUGGUCCUUUCCACUAUAUUUAUUUGACGUAUAUGCUUCCAGACAAUAACUUAGGUUUUGUACUACAUGGUAAAUGAAAUGAAAUUUCUAAUAUGCUAGAACGUACAAUGGUAAUUGUUAGUUUCAUUAGUAUUUCUCGGCAAACCCUCGUUCUUUCUUGGUCUGCUGAAAAUAAUUGUUAUCAGUUUUUCUUUACAUUGUCUAUAGAGAAAGUGAUGUUUUUAAGAGAUAUUUCUGUAACAUGAGCAAUGGUGCUUACUUCUUAUAUCCCAUAUAUUGUUGAAUUAUGUGCUUAUGAGGCAAAACGGUCAUGGCGGUCCUGCACAAGUGGAUGAAUGACUGGAAGGGGCGGCACCACGACGGUUAAGGUGGUUUAUACCCAGCCGGGGAGGACGACCCCCUGCAAUGGGCAUGGAAAGAUGUUGCAGCAGCGAACGAGGAGGCGGAGAUGCGCAAGGCAGAGUAGGAAAAACGUGCUCUGGUCCUCCUCCAAGCCCGCCGGAGACUCCCUAACAUGGUACGAGAUUGUUACCCCCUGCCGCGUCAUCAUUACUUGAAGUACAAGGAACCUGACAACAGUAUGUAACCAAUCACGAGGACUAGGAUGUUGAGGAAGAUGGUGAAUGGGCAGCUCCAACCAUAUGCAAAAGGAACAAUUUCAAAUCCUAAGUGCAAUUGUACGACUAGAAUGGUAACUGUUCUAGACAAGCGAACACAAACAUUGUUGAAGUUGCACGUAUGUGUAAAUUUUUGUGUUGGGAAAACAUUCAGAUUGGAGGUGAACGAGGAUGACUCAAGCAUUACAAAGAACAGUUGGUAAACAAUGUACCGGUCUCAGCUGACCUUAUGUAUCUUGUAGUGUCAGUGCCAUACUUCUGUACAUAAAACGAUGGAACCGGCAUCAAUCACUUGAACGGGCAUGUUGAUUUGGUUUUCCUGUCUAUGUGCCUUGAGCAUUUCUUCCUCUACACCAGGCAAUGAUUGAGGAUUCACGGAUAUAUUGAGAUCAACUUUUCGAUGCAAUUUGGAUGAUCAAAUCACACUACUAUCUGAGCAUAUAUGAGAUGUUCGCACAGUGAUUGUGAAAAUGCAGGCUACAUUUUUAAAUGUUCAUAAGGUUUGUGAACAUACAAUUUACUACAUGAAGGAUGUGCCUGGCUUCCAUGUUGAAGUAGUAGGACUAUUUCCACAUAUGCGAGAGAAGAACUAUGAUCGGAGGUACUAUGUAUGCUUGAUCCAAUUUAGACAUCAACAAUUAUGUAUCUAAAAGCUGGAGUGCUCCUUGAACAUUGUACUGUAUAUAUGAUUGAAAUGAGUUGCAUGUUGUCGGUGACGACGAGUUGAACCAAUGGAAGCGGCCGUAAUGGUAAGAUAGAGAAGAUGGCCGUGGGAGAAAAAGAGGACGGCAGUAGUGGUAAAGAAGAGAAGAUCAUUGAUGUAAAAGGAGGACAUGUGUUGGACCUAGCAUGUCUAAAUACAAGCAUGUGCUCAUAAGUAUUUUCUUUUCCUUACAAACGAGAGUUGGUUAUUUGGCUUCACAACCUCCAUAUUUCAAUUUGGCAUGCAACGACAUGUACAUGCAUGUCUGUCGGCUGUCCAAAUCUGAGCGUCUAUUGGUGUGUGUGUGGAUGAAGAAUGGCCAUUACCCUUGCUUA